UCCGUAGAACACUUUUGUUCCGGUCCCGUCGGCCGCGCUGCACGCCUCCACCAGGGGGCGCGUUUGCGUCUCGCUGAGGAUUAGUGGCGGCAGGUCAGGAGGUCUGGAGCUGGGGGCCCGGAACGAUGCAUGGCACACAGUACGAGCUCAGUAGGUACGUGUUGAAUGGGGGCAGUUCCAGAGCAGCUUCUAAUACCGUUGUUAUACCCCAGGAUGUUAUUUGCCAUUGAAGGAAGCAUUCCGUAGAUGGGGAUGAGAAAAAAACCCUGGACCUGUCAGACUUGGUCCAAGUACCAGCUGAGUCUUUAUUUUUUUAUGUUUCCAGAGGAGCCUUCACAGCAGAAAGCCAAGUUCUCUUUAAUUCUCCACUAUUGACAAAGACCGAGGUCAAGUUAGGCCAAAAGCCAAAGUGCUCCUCGUUGAAAAAUGCUGUGGAAGAUUAGGCUAAAUACCAGCCACUCUUUCUUAAUCAAGAAACUCAGCUAACAAGUUGGAGCUUUUAAAUGCAGAAGAAAGAGAAGAGAGUAUAGAAAAGAGGUAAGAGGAAGAUCAGAAGAGAGAAGAAACAACUUCAACUCAACUCAAAUGCCACUCAACUCAAAACCCCAACUCAAAUGCCCCUCAAAAGGCAUCUCUUUCUUCUAUCUCCCAAUAUCCCUUUCUACAUCUUGACUUACCAGGAUAAAAUUAAAUAUAUUUUAGACAGUUCAUGAGAGGUGUGGUGUGUGUGUGUGUGUGUGUGUGUGUGUGUGUG